UCUAAAAACUUUGCAUCUAACCCUGAUUAAAGACUCACGACUCAUACUCUCCACCCAGACCCUCAGAUGAACACAUCAGAAGAUGCCAGAAGACUCCAAUUCUUAGUUGAAACCCUUCUUCUUUCUCCCUCUUCUCGGUAGGUACUUGCUCUUCAUGACCUUCCAGAUCUCACUAGUGUUUCAGGAGGGGUCUCGGCCGGAUCUGGAUGACUGGGCAGCGGUUCAGUUCGUGGGAACGGCAUAAUGAGAAUUCCACUGACGAACGUGGUAAGUCGCAGAGGAUCGAAACAAGCUGCUCUGUUCCCUGCGUGUUUAUUUAUUUAUUUAGUGGGUGUCCAAUCUCCAACUCCUUAGGCAGUUUAUGUUAAGAUGACCAAUCCCAUAAAUUCCAGCUCGUCUCUUCCUGCCGCAAAAUGUUCCAACUCAGAAUCUACAUCAGCCAUUGUAUCCACAUAGAGACUCAAAUUCCAGUUUGCUAUACAAUUCCAAUAACAGAGGAUAAGCCUGCAGUUGCUCAAGAUGAUCACACCGCUUCUGAUACAGCCAAAGAAUAGGAUAUAGCUUAUAUUUUUUGUAAUUUGAAUUAUGCUCUGUUCAGUUGUAAUCUCUUGGCUUAGUAGAUGCAUUUCAA